rnacentral:rRNA from 1 species
UACGAAGGGGGCUAGCGUUGUUCGGAAUCACUGGGCGUAAAGCGCACGUAGGCGGAUCUUUAAGUCAGAGGUGAAAUCCCAAGGCUCAACCUUGGAACUGCCUUUGAUACUGGAGAUCUUGAGUCCGGGAGAGGUGAGUGGAACUGCGAGUGUAGAGGUGAAAUUCGUAGAUAUUCGCAAGAACACCAGUGGCGAAGGCGGCUCACUGGCCCGGUACUGACGCUGAGGAGCGAAAGCGUGGGGAGCGAACAGG